AACUAGUACCGUUUUACAAAAGGAAAGGCAAAAGUACUUCCGGUGCUCCUAACGUCCAGCUUCCACGCUACCCGGUCUCCCACUAAGGUUUCCAGCAACGAUAGGUGAGUUUAAUGAGUAACCUAAUGUCACUCAGUGAGCCAGGGCCCCAACUAACAAACACAAACCCUCGCCAUACCAACCCCAAACAAUCUAAGAUGAGGAGUUCACCUAACAAUAACACAACAAUAAUAAUCAUCACUCGAGACUUCCCUCGUGGAAACCCGAGUGAGUCAGCAAGAACAUAAACAUAAAUAAGAUAAGCAGCGGAAUAUAAUCCACCAUUAGCAUAAUGAUUUAAUAUAUGCUAAAACUCUCGACACCUUAACUACACAUCCUCACUCGAGCUUUCUCAUCAUACACAACCAUGGAACACCUAACUCACAGCCACAAAGGCACACGGGUUAGAACAUCCAACAUAACUGACAUGUAACCCCGAUAAGGUAUCACAUGACAGAGCAUGCUUUCUAGCAACCUUUCCGUACAGAGCAUGCUUUAUGCAACCUCUCUGCCCAGCCGCGUGGGGACAUACUCUAGCAACCUUCCUUUCCGCAAACUAACCUGAAGCACCCACCAAGGAUACCACAUGACGGAGCAUGCUUUCCAGCAACCUCCCCGUACAGAGCAUGCUUUAUGCAACCUCUCUGCCAAGCCGCGUAGGGACAUGCUUACGUAACCUUCCUUGCCGCGUAACA
rnacentral:lncRNA from 1 species